AGGGCCCGCACGGUCCCUCUCUCUCAAGGACCCUCGCCGGCCGCUGGGAAAGGGACAUCCUUGAAGGUAGGACGAAGGCAGUGGAGGAUGGAGGGAUAUUAUACAGCUGUGUUCCAGGGGCUCUUCUUAGGGCUGUGGAAUGGAUCCAGGCAGGAUGGACUCGAAUUAAGAUUGUAAUGACUCUUCCGUUUAGAAAACACACUCUUGCUGUUAAUGAUGCCUUGUCAGG
rnacentral:lncRNA from 12 species